rnacentral:lncRNA from 1 species
AAUAUGAUUUGCAAUAAGAUUGUGUAAAAUGCUUUUUCAUUUCUUUUUUAGUGCCAUCAUCAUCUACUCCAACUGUGGCAUCUUCAUCUGCUCCAAUUGUGCCAUCAUCAUCUACUCCAACUGUGCCAUCAUCAUCUACUCCAACUGUGCCAUCAUCUGCUCUAACUGGUUGGGGGAGGGGGUUACACGCCCCUUCCGUACAUCAAUGCAAGUUGUGUAUUUGAAUUCCUGUAAAAUAUAGUUUUAUUAUGUAUACUAUUGAUUUCAAUGUAGUAAAGAUAAAAAUUUUAAUGAAAACAAGUUAUUUUUGAUGCUAGGGUGUAUCAAACCAUCACCACCGCACCCACCUCCAUCGUUAACAUACGCCUCUCAUAUAAUCGGUGG